GUUGUCUGCCAAAGUGUUUGAUGUUCGCGCGCCCUCCCUAGGAAAUAACAUAAAAGCUGACUUCUACUACGACUGGAUCAACAGAGCUACGGCCAUUCAGUACACUGUGUUUGGAGAUAAUCAGAAGUCAACCAGAAUUGUCACGUCGUAUGAAAA